GCCAAGAUGGUAAUUAAAAAAAAAAAUCACAGUUCAGUGCACUGGAAUCAUGUGUAACUUUUCAGGUUCCUGUCAUUCAACCGAGCUGCAGUGGAGGAUUGGUCCCUCACACAAAUAAAAAUUGAUACUACACAAUAUAUCCUAAUUGACAAUGAACCGGUUACUGAGAUUGUUAAGAAACAAGGAAAUGUUGAGCCUUACAGCUGAAGGAAAGCUUUCCAAGGAUGUGAGAAAGUGGAUCUACUGAUAUAUCAUCAAUAUGGUUCAAAGAAAGAGGCCAGAAAGUUCAUGUAUCUAGAUCCAAAUUUUCUCAGAGUGUGGAGGCAUUCAGAUCUAGGUUUCCAGUCUGCAGGAUCUACAACCCCAUGGAAGGAGGAGGAGCUCUUCUGUUGAACUAUCCUGUGACCACGUCUUAUUCAUUGCACAGGCUGUACAUAGAAGAGAGUUAAGGUUGUACAGGCAACCACACAUCUGUGCCAUUUCUUCAUAUCUGACUGUUUGACUUUGCAACAUAAAUAAAAUUUCUUUUAACAUA